rnacentral:rRNA from 1 species
UACGUAGGGGGCGAGCGUUGUCCGGAUUUAUUGGGCGUAAAGAGCGUGUAGGCGGCCAGGUAGGUCCGUUGUGAAAACUCGAGGCUCAACCUCGAGACGUCGAUGGAAACCAUCUGGCUAGAGUCCGGAAGAGGAGAGUGGAAUUCCUGGUGUAGCGGUGAAAUGCGCAGAUAUCAGGAAGAACACCUAUGGCGAAGGCAGCUCUCUGGGACGGUACUGACGCUGAGACGCGGAAGCGUGGGGAGCGAACAGG